AAUCGUCUUAGAGUUGAUCUGACUCAGAACGAACGCUGGCGGCGUGCUAACACAUGCAAGUCGAACGUGAUCCAGAGCUUGCUCUGGUGAAAGUGGCGCACGGGUGAGUAACGCGUGGAUAACCUACGUGGUAUCCGAGAUAACAUUCCGAAAGGGGUGCUAAUACCGGAUAAGCCCACGGGCUCUUUGGAGCUUGCGGGAAAAGGUGGCCUCUAUUUAUAAGCUACUGUAUCAGGAUGGGUCCGCGUACCAUUAGCUAGUUGGCGGUGUAACGGACCACCAAGGCGACGAUGGUUAGCUGGUCUGAGAGGAUGAUCAGCCACACUGGAACUGAGACACGGUCCAGACUCCUACGGGAGGCAGCAGUGGGGAAUUUUGCGCAAUGGGGGAAACCCUGACGCAGCAACGCCGCGUGAGUGAUGAAGGCCUUUGGGUCGUAAAGCUCUGUCAGAGGGGAAGAAAUGAUAUAGUGCUAAUACCACUUUAUCUUGACSGURCCCUCAAAGGAAKCACCGGCUAAYUWCGURCCAGCASCCGCGGUAAUACAAGGGGSMAYUCKGCGARAUAUCCAUCACACUGKCGGCCSCGUCUGAGCGGG
rnacentral:rRNA from 1 species